rnacentral:rRNA from 1 species
CAGUAUUUUGAUCUUGGCUCACGACGAACGGUGGCGGCGUGCCUAAUACAUGCAAGUCGAGCGGACAGAAGGGAGCUUGCUCCCGGAUGUUAGCGGCGGACGGGUGAGUAACACGUGGGUAACCUGCCUGUAAGACUGGGAUAACUCCGGGAAACCGGAGCUAAUACCGGAUAGUUCCUUGAACCGCAUGGUUCAAGGAUGAAAGACGGUUUCGGCUGUCACUUACAGAUGGACCCGCGGCGCAUUAGCUAGUUGGUGGGGUAAUGGCUCACCAAGGCGACGAUGCGUAGCCGACCUGAGAGGGUGAUCGGCCACACUGGGACUGAGACACGGCCCAGACUCCUACGGGAGGCAGCAGUAGGGAAUCUUCCGCAAUGGACGAAAGUCUGACGGAGCAACGCCGCGUGAGUGAUGAAGGUUUUCGGAUCGUAAAGCUCUGUUGUUAGGGAAGAACAAGUGCGAGAGUAACUGCUCGCACCUUGACGGUACCUAACCAGAAAGCCACGGCUAACUACGUGCCAGCAGCCGCGGUAAUACGUAGGUGGCAAGCGUUGUCCGGAAUUAUUGGGCGUAAAGGGCUCGCAGGCGGUUUCUUAAGUCUGAUGUGAAAGCCCCCGGCUCAACCGGGGAGGGUCAUUGGAAACUGGGAAACUUGAGUGCAGAAGAGGAGAGUGGAAUUCCACGUGUAGCGGUGAAAUGCGUAGAGAUGUGGAGGAACACCCAGUGGCGGAAAGGCGGACUCUCUGGUCUGUAAACUGACGCU